ACUGCUUUUGAUGCACUCCAGAACAUGGUUGGCUUUCUGGGCUGUGAGUGGUCAUUGCUAGCUCAUGUCGAGUUUUUCAUCAACCAUCACCUCCAAGUCCUUCUCUGAAGGGAGAAAGUCUUGACAUUACUAUAUCAUUACAGCCUUGACAUUGUGAGGGCAGGUUGGAGGGGAAAGACUGUUAACAAGCUUCCAUGAUAUUCUUGUAUCUCUAACCACACGAGCUAGGAUAUUAGUUUUGGGUAAGUCAUGAGCAGUUACAGUUUUAUUCACCAUGGAUUUAAUUCCAAGACCUCAUCUAGUCACAAUAAUUUCAAAGAGAUCAGACAGGAGAAAAUGUUGUUGUCCCUAUGAAAUUUAUAUCAACAGAAAAAGAAAGUAAUAUUAAUUCGUAGAUUCUUGACAUUCAUUGUCCUCAUACAGAGAUACACAGUGACUAAAGUGAGCAUUGCCCCUUCCUGACAGCGCUACCACUUCCUCACUGCAUAUUUUAUUUUCCUGUUUUAUUAUUGUUCUCAGGAAAUCCACAUAGAAUCCAAUAACAUACUUUUACUCACCAUUUUAAGUCAUUUGAAGCCUUUUUCCAAGUUUUUGUUGUUAAACAACGCCCCCUGCCCCCUUAAGGCCUGGAAACGGCACAGCAGUGCCGGCAUCGCCACCUGGCGAACAUCACCGGAACGGGAAGUGGAUCCCCGGGGAUUAGCACAGACGGAGUACUGGGACAAGAGCAUUAGGCGAGGCAUCUGAUGUCAGCGUGUUAAUUAAAGUGGGAAUGUAAGCCAUGGGAAAGUUCUUCAUCUAUCCUUCAGAUUUGUCACAAGCCCUAUGUUCCCUGAAAUUUCGCCUGGAGCUUUCUGUUCACAUUUUUUAUAACCUCAUCUCCUUGCUCCCAGCUAUUGGCUGUGUAAGAGAUAAUCCAUGUUUCUCAGCUCUCCAUGCUGGUUCCCCAAUACUGGCCCAAAUGCCAGAGUAGGACAAUACCUUCCUUGAAGUAUCCAAAACUGGACACAGCUGGGGCAGACAUCUUCAAGGAGAGCUGAAGAAUUGCUAAAUAUUUUUUAUGUGAUAACAUAAGAUAUAAAUUGCAAUAAGGGUUUCCCUUUUUUACAGCAGCAUAACAUUUCUCACUUCUAUUCAUCUUAUGAUCUAUUUAACAUCCAAAUCUGUUUCUGACAUGCAAUUAUUUAGCUUGUUCUUCCUCACCUUAUUUUUCUGCAGUUCAUUAUUCUUGCCUAAGUGUGUGACCUGUUUGUUUUUACUGAGUUGCAUCCUCUCAACGCCUCUUGAUGUUGUUCUACAAUAUAUACCUGUUAUGUUUGAUUGGCAAAAAUACCUACCCACAGUAACUGUGAAUAAAUCAACAUGUUUGUUUAUUCAAAAAGAAGUUGCUCUCUUAUCUAGAGAAAUCUAACAAAUAAAAUUUUCACAUCUUUUCUAUUGAAUCAGAUUAUCCUUUUUUAUCUAGAUUAUUUUUCAAAGAGGAGAAUACCCUGCUGCCUCAUUUAAAAAAAUACAUAAUUUAGAAGUCAUUAUUUGAAAACAAAGAUUAAAGCAAUGUAGAUUUUGGCAUUCUAGUCUCACAGAAGGAGGAUGUGAAGCAUUCUCAGUUAUGAUAUCCAUAUUUGUACCUAGUACCAUGCCAGGCUAUGAAUAGAUAUUAUAGGAAUCCUGUUCAUGUGCUCUGUGAA